CUUUUCAAAGGUGCUGCUGACAGCUGUGGAAGAAGGCCUGUCUUUAUUCAGCAUGUGCCACAUUUCAUGUAGCCCUUUGCGCCAGAGCAGCCCCAGCAUAAACACGGUGGCAGCACUGUGCAGAGUCUCUGACCUGGGAUGGAAGGCUGCAGUACAGGACAUGCAGGGCAGUCAUGCAUUGGCUAUGUGAUAUGCGUUGGCUGUGCAAUGAUCUGUCCCAUCCUCGCCAUGCAGAGAAGGUAUAUUUAACUGUAGGGGUUACUGCAUCUGAUGGUCAGGAAGCAAAUCAGUUGUUACUGGCCCCUUUCAGAUGUUACUGGCCUCUACCUGCGCUAACUUUGGGGUGCAAAUAUCUUUUUGUUAGAAAUUAGACUGUGGGAACUACUUGCGUGUGAAUUGCAAGGCAUCCAAAAGCUUUCAAGCCACUGCUGACUUGGUUAGAUUGAAUUUUCUGUGACCGUGCUAGUCUUUCCCCAUUUUUCUUCUUCCAGACAUGAUUGAUGAGGCACGAUCUUGAUGAAUUCCAAGCCAUAAGAAAGGCAGAAGGCAGAAGUGAUACUGCGUGCUGAUGUUUGUUUGUUUGCUUCGUUUUCACGAAAGGAUAUAAAGUGUCUUGAAUCUACAAUAGUUUGGCAAUUGGUCCAGGUGCAUGUAUGUGAGCACUAAUGUUAUUUUCAGAGAGAACAGAAGUACCAUGUGAUUUUGGCUCAGGGUGGAAGACGAAAGGAGAGCCCCUUUGGACAUGAAACUCUGGCUGGCGGCUGCGUUUGGAUGCUGGAGGAGCUGCCACCAGCACGCCGGGCUGGCUGCCCCUGGCAUGGCUGGGAUUACUUUGCUGCUACAUGCCGUUGCUCAGCGCAAGAACAAGGCGCUUACAAGAAGGUGGCUUUGUGUGGCGAUGUGCAGGGCAAGCAGAAGUGCACAAAAAUGGUUGCCUGCCAGUCCGCUGCAGGAGGAAAAUAGCCUGGCAUUGUGUCACUGGAGUGCAGACAGGCAGGAGAGCCAGAAGAUUUGUCGUCAGGAACCCUCGCACGUACUCUGGGGCGGCAGCUCAAGUUUUUAAGUUACACGUACGUAUUGCACAACUUCUGAAGACAAGAAGUCCUCCAGAUGAUGCAAGCUGAGUGAGUGAUAUGUUCUGAGGAUGCCAGUGUAAAUUUACCCUUUUACACCUGAGGAGCUGACUGGUUUAAGCUGCCAUCUCAGAAGCUGUGUGAGUUAGCCCACACUGUGUGCUGUGCUGUUCUGUUUGCCCAGAGCCAGGCGAGGCUGUCUGAAUAAGGCUUGUGAAUCUCUACAGUGCCCUGCAUUCACGGCUGAGACUGCAGCAAGAGCCAUAUGCCUCAUUUUUAAAAUUGGCCUAGGUUCCAAAACACAAGGGUGCUUUGUAAAAUUUUUUGGCUUCCUGAUCUUCUUGAACUUUCUUCCUCAGACCUAGCUUCCCUCCUUCAUCCCCACCAUUGCACCCAAACAAAUACUCUGGUUAGACCUACGUGGGCAAGUGAGGGUGCCUGCCCCAAUGGCAGCUCUCAUGAGCAGAGCAGCCCUUCCACCUCCUCUGAAUGGUAUGACAGUCCCUGGCUAAUGCACAUGCACCAGAAUUGUGUUUCUCCUGUCAGAGGAAAAGAUGUCAAGCUUAUAACUGAAGGAAAAAGCUAUCUAAAGGAGAUAAGAGUAUAAGAGAUGUUACUGCAGUUCUAUAUUUGAAAUCAGUUACGUAUGUGUGUGGUAACCCAAAUGAUGGGCGGACUGCACUUUCCCAUUACCAUAAUUACAUUUCCUUUCAUAGCUAGGGUUGGGGACACAUCCAGACAUUACAGAACACAUCAGUAGAUUUAGUGUGGCUUACUCAGUCUCCAUUUAUCAGACUAUGUCCCAAUUAUGUCACAUUUAGGAAACAGAAUAAUUUUCUGGUUAUAGCACACAAAAUUUGUGGCAUACUAAUCCUAGUCAUCCUACUGUAUGACCUUGGAGAAGUUGUUUUACUUCUCUUUGAUGGUAAAAAAAAUUAACUUGCCUCUUGGAUGGAUUUUAGUCCCGUGCCAAGUUAAAAAAAAGUCUGA
rnacentral:lncRNA from 1 species